rnacentral:lncRNA from 1 species
GCCAACACCUACUCCUUCAAGGUCAAGAACAUGAAAAUUAUUCUGAAACCUUUGAGAGAGACAGGUUCAUAAGAAGAUAGAGACAGCCAAGCCAGUCAAUCCUUUGACACUCAAGUCUUCACUAAAAGAUAUCAAGAGGACAUGAUAACUACAGCGCUUGUCAUUAAAGGUGCCAAACCCGACAAAGGUCAGGAAGAUUCUCUCUCAAUUCUCAAGCUUGCUCCCAAAUGAGCUUCAUAAUGAGUUGGCACUCAUGAGAGACGUACGGCAUGCCCCAAUCUCAUUCUUACAACUACAAUUCUGAGCCUUCUUGUGUACCACAUGAGCCCCAUAGAGCAUGAAAAUAUUUGUUGGCAAGUGGUAGAGUUGAUGGACAAGGAAC